rnacentral:rRNA from 1 species
AAACUCUUGUGUGCCCUUGGGUGCCCCUGGGUGUGUGUGCGUCUGCACUUUUAGUGUUCUGUUAUGAAGAAGCUAGUUGUGCUUGUAUGGCUUUCUCCCAGUAGAUCCCUUG